GAAUUUGCCCGUCUUACAUCUGUUGACCUGAAAGGGUUCCUUUUUGCUGUGCUUGACCAUUAUGGAGAGGUUCGUGGAGCUGUACAAAAUCAAGAGCGGCAUAGGAGGGCUAACUAGGCUCAUAAGAUGCUUCGGAGAUGAUAGCCCUACACAAAGGAAGAGGACAGAGGACCUCAUUUUCUAAAGGAAGAUCCCUCACACACUUUCAAGACUGUGAAGCCGACAGGUAUUGAAGACACGUUUUCUAAGAGGAUGAAAGUUGGCAUUGCGAUGGUGAAAGAAGAAGACAUCAUCGAUGUGUUGGUUGUCCUUGAGGCGGCAGUAAUCCUGUCUAAUCUGAGGGAUGUCUCAAGUGCCAUUUCCAUGCU